UACGCACGCUGGCGGCGUGCUUAACACAUGCAAGUCGAACGGAAAGGCCCUGCUUUUGUGGGGUUCUCGAUUGCCGAACGCUUGAGUAACACGUGAGUAACCUGCCCUUGACUGUGUGAUAACUUCAGGAAACUGGGGCGAAUACCGGAUAGGAUCUCCUGCUGCAUGGGGGUGGUUGGAAAGUUUCGGCUGUUGUGGAUGGAAUCGCUGCUUAUCAGCUUCUUUGUCGAGUAGUGGCUUACCAAGGCUUUGAAGGGUAGCCCGCCUGGGAGCGUGACCGGCCACAUUGGGCCUGAGAGACGGCGCAGAAUGCUAACGGAGGCAGCAGUGGAGAAUAUGGCACAAUGGGCGGAAGCCUGAUGCGGAAGUGCUGCGUGCGGUAUGCCGGCUUUCGAGUUGUAAACCGAUUUGGAAUGUGCCGAAGAGUGAGUGACGGUAAUGGGUAAAGAAGCACCGGCUAACUACGUG
rnacentral:rRNA from 1 species